AACGAACGCUGGCGGCAUGCCUAACACAUGCAAGUCGAACGAGACCUUCGGGUCUAGUGGCGCACGGGUGCGUAACGCGUGGGAACCUGCCCUUAGGUUCGGAAUAACUCCCCGAAAGGGGUGCUAAUACCGGAUAAUGUCUUCGGACCAAAGAUUUAUCGCCUUUGGAUGGGCCCGCGUUGGAUUAGCUAGUUGGUAGGGUAAAAGCCUACCAAGGCGACGAUCCAUAGCUGGUCUGAGAGGAUGAUCAGCCACACUUGGACUGAGGCACGGCCCAGACUCCUACGGGAGGCAGCAGUGGGGAAUAUUGGACGAGGGGCCAAAGCCUGAUCCAGCAAUGCCGGGUAAGUGAUGAAGGCCUUAGGGUUGUAAAGCCCUUUUACCCGGGAUGAUAAUGACAGUACCGGGAGAAUAAGCUCCGGCUAACUCCGUG
rnacentral:rRNA from 1 species